AGCAAACUUCACAGUUAGAAUGUCACAUAGAACUAAAAAACAAAAAACAAAAAAAACUCUCUCAGGCCCCUUCUUCACUGUAUACACUAGCAGGGGCUUGCACAUAUAUAUAGUCCCUCACUCUAGAUUUGUUAAAGGUAGAGUGUCACAGUGCCGUCUGGAGCCAUGACCCCACUGAUGAUCACCAAAUAAAUGUGUAUCUCUCUUGUAUUCUCUUUGUAAUAAGUAUAGCAACCAAAUAGUUAUAUUUGUGUUAUUUGCUUUUGCAUACACCAUAUCCUAAUGUACAGCAUGAUAAUGAGAAUAAAUAAGUCAUCAGCCAUAAUUGGCAAAGUACAUUCAAAGAGAAAAAAACAAAAAAACAAAAAAAACAGACAUGCAGUGUAUUUUCUUCUUUUAUUGAAAUGUUUACUGUUAAAUUAAGCAUCAAUGAGAUGCAUUUAGAGAAUUAUAAUAAAGGUUAAAGUGAUCUGUAUAAGAUUUUAAACUCCACUUGGGUUUCUGAGCAGAGUACCUAAUAAAGUCAGUUGCACAGGGAGAUUUAAGACCGCUUCAGUCUAUUUAUCCAGUUCCA